GGCCUCGUAGCUCAGAUGGUAGAGCGUGCGCGUCUAAAGCGUAGACGGCGUCCAUGUGUGGGUUCGAAUCCCACCGAGGCUA
rfam:Echinostoma caproni strain Egypt genome assembly, scaffold: ECPE_scaffold0002170